rnacentral:rRNA from 1 species
GACGAACGCUGGCGGCGUGCUUAACACAUGCAAGUCGAACGGAAAGGCCCUGCUUUUGUGGGGUGCUCGAGUGGCGAACGGGUGAGUAUCACGUGAGUAACCUGCCCUUGACUUUGGGAUAACUUCAGGAAACUGGGGCUAAUACCGGAUAGGAGCUCCUGCUGCAUGGUGGGGGUUGGAAAGUUUCGGCGGUUGGGGAUGGACUCGCGGCUUAUCAGCUUGUUGGUGGGGUAGUGGCUUACCAAGGCUUUGACGGGUAGCCGGCCUGAGAGGGUGACCGGCCACAUUGGGACUGAGAUACGGCCCAGACUCCUACGGGAGGCAGCAGUGGGGAAUAUUGCACAAUGGGCGGAAGCCUGAUGCAGCAACGCCGCGUGCGGGAUGACGGCCUUCGGGUUGUAAACCGCUUUCGCCUGUGACGAAGCGUGAGUGACGGUAAUGGGUAAAGAAGCACCGGCUAACUACGU